rnacentral:tRNA from 1 species
GUCCACAUAGCUUACACCAAAA